UGUUUAGGGUUGAUAUAAAAACCAUAGAAUCAUGCCCUAGUUGCUCUGAAAACGACCGAAGCCUCACCCUUUCUCAACUCUUCUUCCUCGUCCUCUUCUAAGAGCGGCUAUAGAGGUCGGUUUUGAAAGAAGGUUUGACAAAUUCUCUUAGUAGAACGUCGCUGGACUUUGCUCACAUUACUAGUCGGGGCUAUGGAUUUUGGAACCUACAACCGAAGUUUUGAUGUGAUGGAACCAACAAGAGAUUCUAAUAGUAGGUCACGCGACAUUGUUUCAUGGCCUAGUGCCGUUUCUCAUUACAUGUUGGAGUGUAUAUUGAAGUAGUACAAGAGUGGUAAGAGUGGAGAUAAUGGACUAAAAAAGAGCGGUUCAUUGAAAUUACCAACCAACUGAAAGAGAAAUUCUGCACUAGGUACGACUGUGAACAAGUGAGAAACCACUUCCGGAUUUAGAAGCAAAGGCUUAGAGCAUUGGGUGAUCUACAGAAGCAAAGUGGGUUGGGAUGGAAUGCAUCUAAUAUGAGAUUUGAUGCUCCUCAACACUUCUGGAAUGACUAUAGGAAAAAAGAACAAAAGUACUGGAAGGAACAUAGUGUGCUCCCAAUUCACCUUGAAGUUGGAGCUUUGCUAAGGAAAGAGAUGGCAACUGGGAAUGAUUCAACAAUCCCCUCUGAAGCUGCCAUUGAAGUUAUGAUGGACGUGACUGGUACUCAGGUUGUGGGAAUAGGGAACAAUGAUGGUGUUGACUAUGAACCUAUUAAACCUGAAGAAAGUGUUCCUUCCACUCCCAUUGGUAGUACCAGUCGUUCUCUAGGAAGACCUCAUGGGUCCAUCAAUAGUGGUAGAGAAAAGAGGAAGAAGCGUGCAACUGAAAAGGUGGUAAGUCCAUUGAAAUCGACUGCUAACUCAAUCGAAAAGAUGGUAAUGAGUGAAUCUCAGUCUGAAUUUAGGAGAGCAAUUAUAGAUGCUGUUGAUACCAUUCCAGACUUCAAUUUCCAACAAAAGUUCAAGGCCAAGAAGAAUUCUACCAUUAUCUUCAUGGAAAUAAGAGUAGAAGAUAGGCGAAAUCUAGUUGAGAUGUACUUGUCAGAGAUUGAGAAGAAUUGAGGUAACAAUAGGAAGUGAGAAGAAUUCUAAAACAAUGGGUUUUUGAAUAGAAAUUUGAUGUGUUUGGUUGAUGUAACUUGAUAUUAUGUUAAGUCUGUGACAAUGGGUUGAAUAUGGUCUUAAGAAAUCUUAAGACAAUGGUUCUUUGUAUGUUCCUCUUUGAAUGAUUUCAAGGUUUAAGUAUGGACAACCUCAUUCUUAUUUGUCAUAAUAUUUUGGGUUCUUUGGAAUGGCAGAAAUAGGGAAUUAGUUGUACUAUAUCAAUAUCUAUUCUUGUGGAUGUCCACUGACAAGUAUUCAUCUUGCUAUAGUCAUGCCCCAUAAAAAUGUCUUUAAUUUAUGGAAUUCCAUUGCAUAUGUUAGACUGAAAUUGCAAAAGUGAUUAAACCUUUAUUUUGGGUCUCUCGAUGAUGGCUUUGUUUGUUCUUGUCAACUUGCAUUGAAGAUUUCAUUGGACUGGUUGACUAGAUCUUAUCUCUAUUUGGAGCUGGUUUGGAUGAAAGGUUUUUUUGAACAUCCAUGGGGCAUACAAAUUCAUGUUGGGAAGAUCAAUGAGGUGCUGAUGCCCAGUGCAUUUAUAAAUAAUUAAUGAAAGAUGGCAUAGUGCCUUUUGUUCAGUGAUUCAUUAGGAUCCUUGGAGGUGAAUCUUGAUCACAUUUUUUUCUAUUAUUUCUUUUCUUUCUCACCACUGUAUAUCACUUUCAGUUCCUGUUUAGGAGGCAAAAAAUUUGUGCCAUUGAAAUCUCCUAUUUUUUGGUUUUAAGAAUCCUCUCCUCAGAAUUAUUCUCUUAUUACCCCAUAUUUGUCCAUCACACUCAGAUGAGGGGCGUACUUAACAGUAUUUUCUAUGCAUAUUUGCUCUCUUGAAAAUGUUUGUGUUAACUUACAGAUGACAUUGAAUGUGUCCGCUUGUGCCAUUGCAAAGUAUGAUUUCUAUGGGAAAGAUUGCUCAAUUUUCACUUCUAAGUCAGGGUCACAUGUUGGAAGGAAAUUUUUUAAAUGUUCAAUGAAUUGCCCCUUCUUCAUGUGGGUUGACCAACUUAAGAUGUGUGAGUGUGGGAACGGUCAAUGUAAGGUCAAAACUGUGAAGACAAGUGCAAAUUAUGGUCGAUAUUUUUGGUGUUGUCCACAAUCAAUUGAGGUUGAAAACAAAGGUUGUGGAAUGUUCGAAUGGAUAUCAAAUUCAAGCAGAAGUUGUCAUACUUACCAGACUCCACCUAGGUCACUAUGCUCGGAAACCUCAACUUCAUCAUCUCCUUCCCCUUCUCAGACUAUAUCAAAGGAUACUUGAAUGGUGCAAUAAAAGAAUCGGAGGACCAUAUGAGGAUGCUGAGAGAUGUUCUUGACGCAGUCAAGAAGCUUCAUUUAAACAAAAAUGUAGGAUGAGAUUUUUUGGAAUUUUUUAGAAAAGAAAAGGCCGAAGCCAUUGUAAUGAUAUUGACUUCAUUAUCCUUUUUUUUUUUUUUUUUUUGAUAGAAAGACUUCAUUAUCAUUUACUAGUACCUAGAUGAACUCAAUACUAUAUUAUUCCUUUACAUGCUUCUGCUCUCAUUUGAUCCUAAGAACCUAUAU